rnacentral:rRNA from 1 species
UACGUAGGGGGCAAGCGUUGUCCGGAAUCAUUGGGCGUAAAGCGCGCGUAGGCGGCCCGGUAAGUCCGUUGUGAAAGUCAAAGGCUCAACCUUUGAACGCCGAUGGAUACUGCCGGGCUAGAGUCCGGAAGAGGCGAGUGGAAUUCCUGGUGUAGCGGUGAAAUGCGUAGAGAUCGGGAGGAAGGCCGGUGGCGAAGGCGGCGCUCUGGAACAUUUCUGACGCUGAGGCUCGAAAGCGUGGGGAGCAAACAGG